GAUGAACGCUGGCGGCGUGCCUAAUACAUGCAAGUCGAGCGAACGGACGAGAAGCUUGCUUUUCUGAUGUUAGCGGCGGACGGGUGAGUAACACGUGGAUAACCUUCCUAUAAGACUGGGAUAACUUCGGGAAACCGGAGCUAAUACCGGAUAAUAUUUUGAACCGCAUGGUUCAAAAGUGAAAGACGGUCUUGCUGUCACUUAUAGAUGGAUCCGCGCUGCAUUAGCUAGUUGGUAAGGUAACGGCUUACCAAGGCAACGAUGCAUAGCCGACCUGAGAGGGUGAUCGGCCACACUGGAACUGAGACACGGUCCAGACUCCUACGGGAGGCAGCAGUAGGGAAUCUUCCGCAAUGGGCGAAAGCCUGACGGAGCAACGCCGCGUGAGUGAUGAAGGUCUUCGGAUCGUAAAACUCUGUUAUUAGGGAAGAACAUAUGUGUAAGUAACUGUGCACAUCUUGACGGUACCUAAUCAGAAAGCCACGGCUAACUACGUG
rnacentral:rRNA from 1 species